AUUGAACGCUGGCGGCAGGCCUAACACAUGCAAGUCGAGCGGAUGAAGGGAGCUUGCUCCUGGAUUCAGCGGCGGACGGGUGAGUAAUGCCUAGGAAUCUGCCUGUUAGUGGGGGAUAACGUCCGGAAAUGGGCGCUAAUACCGCAUACGUCCUGAGGGAGAAAGUGGGGGAUCUUCGGACCUCACGCUAUCAGAUGAGCCUAGGUCGGAUUAGCUAGUUGGUGGGGUAAAGGCCUACCAAGGCGACGAUCCGUAACUGGUCUGAGAGGAUGAUCAGUCACACUGGAACUGAGACACGGUCCAGACUCCUACGGGAGGCAGCAGUGGGGAAUAUUGGACAAUGGGCGAAAGCCUGAUCCAGCCAUGCCGCGUGUGUGAAGAAGGUCUUCGGAUUGUAAAGCACUUUAAUUUGGGAGGAAGGGCAGUAAGUUAAUACCUUGCUGUUUUGACGUUACCAACAGAAUAAGCACCGGCUAACUUCGUG
rnacentral:rRNA from 1 species